GCCUUGGUGGAUCAAUUGGUAUAUCAUCCCUACCUAAUACAAUCGGAGAGGGCCGUACGUGGGAAAAAGGAGGUUCGAAUCCUCCCCAAGGCA